rnacentral:rRNA from 1 species
UACGUAGGCAGCAAGCGUUGUUCGGAGUUACUGGGCGUAAAGGGUGCGUAGGCGGCUAUUUAAGUUUGGUGUGAAAUCUCCCGGCUCAACCGGGAGGGUGCGCCGAAUACUGAGUGGCUAGAGUGCGGGAGAGGAAAGUGGAAUUCCCGGUGUAGCGGUGAAAUGCGUAGAGAUCGGGAGGAACACCAGUGGCGAAGGCGGCUACCUGGACCAGCACUGACACUGAGGCACGGAAAGCGUGGGGAGCAAACAGGG